rnacentral:rRNA from 1 species
AGAGUUUGAUCCUGGCUCAGGACGAACGCUGGCGGCAUGCCUAACACAUGCAAGUCGAACGGACGACUUUACGGAAGAAGCUUCGGUUUUGGAAGUAAGGAAGUUAGUGGCGGAUGGGUGAGUAACGCGUGGAUAACCUACCUUCAGGUUGGGGACAACUCCGGGAAACCGGAGCUAAUACCGAAUAAAAUUCCAGGAACGCAUGUUUUUGGAAUCAAAGGGGGCCUCUCUAAAGAAGCUCUUGCCAGAAGAUGGAUCCGCGUCUGAUUAGCUAGUUGGUGGGGUAGUAGCCUACCAAGGCAACGAUCAGUAGCCGGCCUGAGAGGGUGAACGGCCACACUGGGACUGAGACACGGCCCAGACUCCUACGGGAGGCAGCAGUGGGGAAUCUUCCGCAAUGGGCGAAAGCCUGACGGAGCAAUGCCGCGUGAAUGAAGAAGGCCUUCGGGUUGUAAAGUUCUGUUGAAAAGGAAGAAAGUGAGAUGGGUUAAUACCCUAUUUUAUUGACGGUACUUUUUGAGGAAGCCCCGGCUAACUACGUGCCAGCAGCCGCGGUAAUACGUAGGGGGCAAGCGUUGUCCGGAAUCACUGGGCGUAAAGCGCAUGCAGGCGGGAUAUUAAGUCAGGUGUGAAAACUAUGGGCUCAACCUGUAGACUGCAUCUGAAACUGGUAUUCUUGAGUAUUGGAGAGGAAAGUGGAAUUCCAAGUGUAGCGGUGAAAUGCGUAGAUAUUAGGAGGAACACCAGUGGCGAAGGCGACUUUCUGGCCAAAAACUGACGCUCAGAUGCGAAAGCGUGGGGAGCAAACAGGAUUAGAUACCCUGGUAGUCCACGCCGUAAACGAUGGGUACUAGGGGUUGGGUGU